GUGCUCGCUUCAGCAGCACAUAUAAUAAAAUUGGAAAGAUACAGAGGAGAUUAGCAUGGCCCUUGCACUAGGAUGACAUGUAAAUUCGUGAAGUGUUCCAAUUUUUU
ensembl:snRNA U6 U6 spliceosomal RNA